rnacentral:rRNA from 1 species
GAGAGGGCGACCGGCCACACUGGGACUGAGACACGGCCCAGANNNNNACGGGAGGCAGCAGUAGGGAAUAUUGGGCAAUGGGCGAAAGCCUGACCCAGCGACGCCGCGUGAGGGAUGAAGGUCUUCGGAUUGUAAACCUCUUUCAGUAGGGAAGAAGCGAAAGUGACGGUACCUAAAGAAGAAGCACCGGCUAACUAUGUGCCGGCAGCCGCGGUAAUACAUAGGGUGCAAGCGUUGUCCGGAAUUAUUGGGCGUAAAGAGCUCGUAGGUCGUUUGUCGCGUCGAUUGUGAAAAUCUGGGGCUCAACCUCAGACCUGCAGUCGAUACGGGCAAACUAGAGUGUGGUAGGGGAGACUGGAAUUCCUGGUGUAGCGGUGGAAUGCGCAGAUAUCAGGAGGAACACCAAUGGCGAAGGCAGGUCUCUGGGCCAUAACUGACACUGAGGAGCGAAAGUGCGGGGAGCGAACAGGAUUAGAUACCCUGGUAGUCCGCACCGUAAACGGUGGGCACUAGUUGUGGGAACCUUCCACGGUUUCCGCGACGCAGCAAACGCAUUAAGUGCCCCGCCUGGGGAGUACGAUCGCAAGAUUAAAACUCAAAGGAAUUGACGGGGCCCCGCACAAGCAGCGGAGCAUGCGGCUUAAUUCGACGCAACGCGAAGAACCUUACCAAGGCUUGACAUAUAGCGAAAAGUGGCAGAGAUGUCAUGUCCGCAAGGGCGCUAUACAGGUGGUGCAUGGUUGUCGUCAGCUCGUGUCGUGAGAUGUUGGGUUAAGUCCCGCAACGAGCG